GUUGUAUGGUUAAGUGACUAAGCGUACACGGUGGAUGCCUUGGCAGUCAGAGGCGAUGAAGGACGUAUUAACUUGCGAUAAGCCCAGAUUAGGCAGUAAAAGCCACUUGAGUCUGGGAUUUCCGAAUGGGGAAACCCACUAGCAUAAGCUAGUAUCGCUGCGUGAAUACAUAGCGCAGCGAGGCGAACCGGGGGAACUGAAACAUCUAAGUACCCCGAGGAAAAGAAAUCAACCGAGAUUCCGAAAGUAGCGGCGAGCGAAAUUGGACUAGCCCUUAAGCUUUAUAUGCGUUAGACGAACGGUCUGGAAAGUCCGGCGAUACAGGGUGAUAGCCCCGUAGUUGACAACGCACAUUCAGUGAAAUCGAGUAGGGCGGGACACGUGAUAUCCUGUCUGAAUAUGGGGGGACCAUCCUCCAAGGCUAAAUACUACUGACUGACCGAUAGUGAACCAGUACCGUGAGGGAAAGGCGAAAAGAACCCCUGUGAGGGGAGUGAAAUAGAACCUGAAACCGUGUACGUACAAGCAGUAGGAGCAGGCUUUGUCCUGUGACUGCGUACCUUUUGUAUAAUGGGUCAGCGACUUAUAUUCAGUGGCAAGGUUAACCAUCUAGGGGAGCCGUAGGGAAACCGAGUCUUAACUGGGCGUUCAGUCUCUGGAUAUAGACCCGAAACCAGGUGAUCUAGCCAUGGGCAGGUUGAAGGUUGAGUAACAUCAACUGGAGGACCGAACCGACUAAUGUUGAAAAAUUAGCGGAUGACUUGUGGCUAGGGGUGAAAGGCCAAUCAAACCUGGAGAUAGCUGGUUCUCCCCGAAAGCUAUUUAGGUAGCGCCUCGGACGAAUACUACUGGGGGUAGAGCACUGUUAAGGCUAGGGGGUCAUCCCGACUUACCAACCCUUUGCAAACUCCGAAUACCAGUAAGUACUAUCCGGGAGACACACGGCGGGUGCUAACGUCCGUCGUGGAGAGGGAAACAACCCAGACCGCCAGCUAAGGUCCCAAAUUACUACUAAGUGGGAAACGAUGUGGGAAGGCUCAGACAGCCAGGAUGUUGGCUUAGAAGCAGCCAUCAUUUAAAGAAAGCGUAAUAGCUCACUGGUCGAGUCGGCCUGCGCGGAAGAUGUAACGGGGCUAAGUAGUAAACCGAAGCUGCGGCAAUGUGCUUUUGCACAUUGGGUAGGGGAGCGUUCUGUAAGCGGUUGAAGGUGUGUGGUAACGCAUGCUGGACGUAUCAGAAGUGCGAAUGCUGACAUGAGUAACGAUAAAGGGGGUGAAAAACCUCCUCGCCGGAAGACCAAGGGUUCCUGUCCAACGUUAAUCGGGGCAGGGUAAGUCGACCCCUAAGGCGAGGCCGAAAGGCGUAGUCGAUGGGAAACGGGUUAAUAUUCCCGUACUUCUUACAAUUGCGAUGGGGGGACGGAGAAGGCUAGGUGGGCCUGGCGACGGUUGUCCAGGUUCAAGUGCGUAGGCUUAAGAGUUAGGUAAAUCCGGCUCUUUCUAAGGCUGAGACACGACGUCGAGCUACUACGGUAGUGAAGUCAUUGAUGCCAUGCUUCCAGGAAAAGCCUCUAAGCUUCAGAUUGUAAGGAAUCGUACCCCAAACCGACACAGGUGGUCGGGUAGAGAAUACCAAGGCGCUUGAGAGAACUCGGGUGAAGGAACUAGGCAAAAUGGUACCGUAACUUCGGGAGAAGGUACGCUCUCGACGGUGAAGUCCCUCGCGGAUGGAGCUAUUGAGAGUCGCAGAUACCAGGUGGCUGCAACUGUUUAUUAAAAACACAGCACUGUGCAAAAUCGUAAGAUGACGUAUACGGUGUGACGCCUGCCCGGUGCCGGAAGGUUAAUUGAUGGGGUUAGACUUCGGUCGAAGCUCUUGAUCGAAGCCCCGGUAAACGGCGGCCGUAACUAUAACGGUCCUAAGGUAGCGAAAUUCCUUGUCGGGUAAGUUCCGACCUGCACGAAUGGCGUAAUGAUGGCCACGCUGUCUCCACCCGAGACUCAGUGAAAUUGAAAUCGCUGUGAAGAUGCAGUGUACCCGCGGCUAGACGGAAAGACCCCGUGAACCUUUACUACAGCUUGGCACUGAACAUUGACCCUACAUGUGUAGGAUAGGUGGGAGGCUUUGAAGACGGUACGCCAGUAUCGUUGGAGCCGUCCUUGAAAUACCACCCUUGUAGUGUUGAUGUUCUAACGUUGACCCCUUAUCGGGGUUACGGACAGUGCCUGGUGGGUAGUUUGACUGGGGCGGUCUCCUCCCAAAGAGUAACGGAGGAGCACGAAGGUGGGCUAAUCACGGUUGGACAUCGUGAGGUUAGUGCAAUGGCAUAAGCCCGCUUGACUGCGAGAAUGACAAUUCGAGCAGGUGCGAAAGCAGGUCAUAGUGAUCCGGUGGUUCUGAAUGGAAGGGCCAUCGCUCAACGGAUAAAAGGUACUCCGGGGAUAACAGGCUGAUACCGCCCAAGAGUUCAUAUCGACGGCGGUGUUUGGCACCUCGAUGUCGGCUCAUCACAUCCUGGGGCUGAAGUCGGUCCCAAGGGUAUGGCUGUUCGCCAUUUAAAGUGGUACGCGAGCUGGGUUUAGAACGUCGUGAGACAGUUCGGUCCCUAUCUGCCGUGGGCGUUGGAAGAUUGAAGGGGGCUGCUCCUAGUACGAGAGGACCGGAGUGGACGAACCUCUGGUGUUCGGGUUGUGUCGCCAGACGCAUUGCCCGGUAGCUAAGUUCGGAAUCGAUAACCGCUGAAAGCAUCUAAGCGGGAAGCGAGCCCUGAGAUGAGUCUUCCCUGAUACUUUAAGUAUCCUAAAGGGUUGUCGGAGACUACGACGUUGAUAGGUCAGGUGUGUAAGUGCUGUGAGGCAUUGAGCUAACUGAUACUAAUUGCCCGUGAGGCUUAACCAUACAACACCCAAGGGGUUU
rnacentral:rRNA from 1 species